rnacentral:rRNA from 1 species
CCUACGGGUGGCUGCAGUGGGGGAUAUUGCACAAUGGGGGAAACCCUGAUGCAGCGACGCCGCGUGGGCGAAGAAGUAUUUCGGUAUGUAAAGCCCUAUCAGCAGGGAAGAAGAAAUGACGGUACCUGAGUAAGAAGCACCGGCUAAAUACGUGCCAGCAGCCGCGGUAAUACGUAUGGUGCAAGCGUUAUCCGGAUUUACUGGGUGUAAAGGGAGCGCAGGCGGCACGGCAAGCCUGAUGGGAAAGCCCGCGGCCCAACCGCGGGACUGCAGUGGGAACUACCGGGCUGGAGUGCCGGAGAGGUAGGCGGAAUGCGUGGUGUAGCGGUGAAAUGCGUAGAUAUGAGGAGGAACACCAGUGGCGAGGGCGGCAUACGGGAGGGUGACUGACGCUGAGGCUCGAAAGCGUGGGGAGCGAACAGGAUUAGAUACCCUGGUAGUC